GCCAGACUCCUACGGGAGGCAGCAGUGAGGAAUAUUGGUCAAUGGCCGGAAGGCUGAACCAGCCAAGUCGCGUGAGGGAAUAAGGCCCUAUGGGUCGUAAACCUCUUUUGUCAGGGAGCAAAGGCGUCCACGAGUGGACGAAAGGAGAGUACCUGAAGAAAAAGCAUCGGCUAACUCCGUGCCAGCAGCCGCGGUAAUACGGAGGAUGCGAGCGUUAUCCGGAUUUAUUGGGUUUAAAGGGUGCGCAGGCGGAGGUGCAGCUCGGCGGUCAAAUCGCGGGGCUCAACCUCGCUCCGCCGUUGAAACUGGCGUUCUUGAGUGGGCGAGAAGUAUGCGGAAUGCGCGGUGUAGCGGUGAAAUGCAUAGAUAUCGCGCAGAACUCCGAUUGCGAAGGCAGCAUGCCGGCUCCACACUGACGCUGAGGCACGAAAGCGUGGGUAUCGAACAGGAUUAGAUACCCUGGUAA
rnacentral:rRNA from 1 species